rnacentral:rRNA from 1 species
GACAGAGGGGGCAAGCGUUGCUCGGAAUUACUGGGCGUAAAGGGCGCGUAGGCGGCCCGCUAAGUCGAACGUGAAAUCCCCAGGCUCAACCUGGGAACUGCGUCCGAUACUGGCAGGCUUGAAUCCGGGAGAGGGAUGUGGAAUUCCAGGUGUAGCGGUGAAAUGCGUAGAUAUCAGGAGGAACACCAAUAGCGAAGGCAGCUCGCUGGGACGUUACUGACACUGAGGCGCGAAAGCGUGGGGAGCGAACAGG